rnacentral:rRNA from 1 species
UACGAAGGGGGCUAGCGUUGUUCGGAAUUACUGGGCGUAAAGCGCACGUAGGCGGACCUGCAAGUCGGGGGUGAAAGCCCGAGGCUCAACCUCGGAACUGCCUUCGAUACUGCGGGUCUCGAGUCCGGGAGAGGUGAGUGGAAUUCCUAGUGUAGAGGUGAAAUUCGUAGAUAUUAGGAAGAACACCAGUGGCGAAGGCGGCUCACUGGCCCGGUACUGACGCUGAGGCGCGAAAGCGUGGGGAGCAAACAGGG